rnacentral:tRNA from 1 species
AGGCGCGUAGCUCAGUGGUAGAGCACUACCUUGACACGGUAGGGGUCACUGGUUCAAUCCCAGCCGCGCCUA